rfam:Citreicella sp. 357 C357_208, whole genome shotgun sequence.
UCCUCGUCACAACGGCUUCCUGGCGUGACGACCGGUACCUAAUGGAGCG